rnacentral:rRNA from 1 species
AAUAGAUACCCCCGGUAGUCCACGCCGUAAACGAUGAGUGCUAAGUGUUAGGGGGUUUCCGCCCCUUAGUGCUGCAGCUAACGCAUUAAGCACUCCGCCUGGGGAGUACGGUCGCAAGACUGAAACUCAAAGGAAUUGACGGGGGCCCGCACAAGCGGUGGAGCAUGUGGUUUAAUUCGAAGCAACGCGAAGAACCUUACCAGGUCUUGACAUCCCACUGACCGCUAUGGAGACAUAGUUUUCCCUUCGGGGACAGUGGUGACAGGUGGUGCAUGGUUGUCGUCAGCUCGUGUCGUGAGAUGUUGGGUUAAGUCCCGCAACGAGCGCAACCCUUGAUCUUAGUUGCCAUUCAUUUAGUUGGGCACUCUAAGGUGACUGCCGGUGACAAACCGGAGGAAGGUGGGGAUGACGUCAAAUCAUCAUGCCCCUUAUGACCUGGGCUACACACGUGCUACAAUGGACGGUACAAACGGUUGCCAACCCGCGAGGGGGAGCUAAUCCGAUAAAAUCGUUCUCAGUUCGGAUUGUAGGCUGCAACUCGCUACGU